AUGCUGGAGGUAUCAGAAGUGCGAAUGCUGACAUAAGUAACGAUAAAGCGGGUGAAAAGCCCGCUCGCCGGAAGACCAAGGGUUCCUGUCCAACGUUAAUCGGGGCAGGGUGAGUCGACCCCUAAGGCGAGGCCGAAAGGCGUAGUCGAUGGGAAACAGGUUAAUAUUCCUGUACUUGGUGUUACUGCGAAGGGGGGACGGAGAAGGCUAUGUUGGCCGGGCGACGGUUGUCCCGGUUUAAGCGUGUAGGCUGGUUUUCCAGGCAAAUCCGGAAAAUCAAGGCUGAGGCGUGAUGACGAGGCACUACGGUGCUGAAGCAACAAAUGCCCUGCUUCCAGGAAAAGCCUCUAAGCAUCAGGUAACAUCAAAUCGUACCCCAAACCGACACAGGUGGUCAGGUAGAGAAUACCAAGGCGCUUGAGAGAACUCGGGUGAAGGAACUAGGCAAAAUGGUGCCGUAACUUCGGGAGAAGGCACGCUGAUAUGUAGGUGAAGUCCCUCGCGGAUGGAGCUGAAAUCAGUCGAAGAUACCAGCUGGCUGCAACUGUUUAUUAAAAACACAGCACUGUGCAAACACGAAAGUGGACGUAUACGGUGUGACGCCUGCCCGGUGCCGGAAGGUUAAUUGAUGGGGUUAGCGCAAGCGAAGCUCUUGAUCGAAGCCCCGGUAAACGGCGGCCGUAACUAUAACGGUCCUAAGGUAGCGAAAUUCCUUGUCGGGUAAGUUCCGACCUGCACGAAUGGCGUAAUGAUGGCCAGGCUGUCUCCACCCGAGACUCAGUGAAAUUGAACUCGCUGUGAAGAUGCAGUGUACCCGCGGCAAGACGGAAAGACCCCGUGAACCUUUACUAUAGCUUGACACUGAACAUUGAGCCUUGAUGUGUAGGAUAGGUGGGAGGCUUGGAAGUGUGGACGCCAGUCUGCAUGGAGCCGACCUUGAAAUACCACCCUUUAAUGUUUGAUGUUCUAACGUUGACCCGUAAUCCGGGUUGCGGACAGUGUCUGGUGGGUAGUUUGACUGGGGCGGUCUCCUCCUAAAGAGUAACGGAGGAGCACGAAGGUUGGCUAAUCCUGGUCGGACAUCAGGAGGUUAGUGCAAUGGCAUAAGCCAGCUUGACUGCGAGCGUGACGGCGCGAGCAGGUGCGAAAGCAGGUCAUAGUGAUCCGGUGGUUCUGAAUGGAAGGGCCAUCGCUCAACGGAUAAAAGGUACUCCGGGGAUAACAGGCUGAUACCGCCCAAGAGUUCAUAUCGACGGCGGUGUUUGGCACCUCGAUGUCGGCUCAUCACAUCCUGGGGCUGAAGUAGGUCCCAAGGGUAUGGCUGUUCGCCAUUUAAAGUGGUACGCGAGCUGGGUUUAGAACGUCGUGAGACAGUUCGGUCCCUAUCUGCCGUGGGCGCUGGAGAACUGAGGGGGGCUGCUCCUAGUACGAGAGGACCGGAGUGGACGCAUCACUGGUGUUCGGGUUGUCAUGCCAAUGGCACUGCCCGGUAGCUAAAUGCGGAAGAGAUAAGUGCUGAAAGCAUCUAAGCACGAAACUUGCCCCGAGAUGAGUUCUCCCUGACUCCUUGAGAGUCCUGAAGGAACGUUGAAGACGACGACGUUGAUAGGCCGGGUGUGUAAGCGCAGCGAUGCGUUGAGCUAACCGGUACUAAUGAACCGUGAGGCUUAACCUUACAACGCCGAAGGUGUUU
rnacentral:rRNA from 1 species